AUGGAGCAAGAGUGAUAGAUAGACAAUCCCACUGGGAUCUGAAAAGCCGUUGGUAUUUUCUAACUGCUAAAGGAAGAAAGAAUCGGCUUUUCUUAAAGAUGUGAUCCUUGUAGGUUGAUUCCAGGGCAGGGCCCACUCCCCAGAGUACUUGGGCAACGCAAACUUCAUACGAAAAAGGAGGAGGAGAGAGGAGGAGGACCAAUAGCAGGGUGAAGAGAGAGAACAGGUAUGCUUCUCUGACGCAGUUCUUAGAGCCUGAAGCAGCUAUGUCGUCAUCGCGCUUUGCAGACUUUGGUCUAAGACAGCCCAGCUCUUGACACAGCUGCCUCGAAGGAGAGGCAGGAAAGAAAUCCAUCAGCUACAUCUUCUCCUGCGGAAAAAAGGAUUAUCAAACUUCUCUUGAGGUGAUGCUCUGAGGCAUUAAUCUACCUCCUGACCGACAUCCUUUAUCUCUAUUUGAGUAUGGAGAUAGGUAAAGGGAAGUUGGGUCCAAAUGAAAACAAGUAUUGGCGAGAGCAUCUUUACCACCUCUGCAGUCGAAUGAAUGGGUCACUGCCAGCCAUCCUUGUUGAGGAGAUAUUUGGCAAGAAGCCAUUUGCAAAAAUAUCAUCUGUGACUUUCCUUUUGCUGGAGAUUUCAUUGGUUUGGAAAUUAUAAAUCACAGGAGCCGAUGAAAUAACUUUGAUCUUCCUAGUCUGUUCGUUCAUUGUGGCAUCAGGUCAUACCUGCACAGGCUUGAAGAUACACCGGCAGAUGGCAGAACAUAUGCCCUGAUUAAGAUUUAUGUAUUCAGUUCCGAUGAAUCUACAUAGGGUUUCCUAGAAAAGGAGAAGACGUACUGUAAGCAUGGAUGAGUGAAUGUCUGCUCAACUGUUUUCCUGCUGAAGAGAUCUGAAAAAUCACAGAACUUUGAGACAGUGUUGACAGGUCCCUGUUUUAUUUUUAUAAAAAAAAUCAAAUAGCUCUUCCUGCAUGUAGAUAUG
rnacentral:lncRNA from 1 species